GCUACAGAAUCAUUGAGUCAUGUGACCUCAGGGCUGCCUGCUUCCCUCACUUCCCUCCCAGCCCCUUCCUGCCAAAAACCUUAAGAGAUUUCAGGAACCCUGUUUUACUCUACAUGUUCUGCCCUGACAUGAAAAAAAGAUGAUUCUUAUUGUGGGCUUUAGCCUUUUGUUUUUCUACAAAGGCAUGCUGUGUAAUCAGGUGACCCAGAAUUCUGAAGACCAGACGGUGUUAAGUGGCAGGGAGCUAAUGUUGUUCUGCACUUAUGAUGUUAGCUUCUCAAAUCCAGAUUUGUACUGGUACCGAAAAAGGCCAGAGGGGUCCUUUCAGUUUAUCCUUUAUAAGGAUAACACCAGAUCUAAAUAUGCAGAUUUUGCUCAAGGCCGAUUUUUUGAGAAGCACAGUCCGACCCAGAAAACCUUCCACCUGGUGAUGUCCCAAGUGAGGCUGGAAGACAGUGCCACUUACUAUUGUGCUGUGAAUCCCACGGUGAUGCAGGUGCCCAGGAAGUCUGCACACAAACCUCUGGGGAACAGCUCUGCAGAGCUACCUCUCAGGGAGGGCCACGACCUAGAGCUAGCAUCCUUCUCCUGGUCAUUUUGUGUUCCAGCCUUGUCUUUAGAGGUGUCCUAAAGUGACUACUGACCA